ACUCCGCGAGCGAGCACUCGACUCUGGCGUAGAGCAACGCCUCCAAAUCCGCGAAUGGAACACAACCUGCGCCGCCGGAACAAGGCGGAAGCGGAAGUUCUAUCCUUCGGGCGCCGAGUUACCCAGGAUACAUUGCGUGUUGUCAUUCCCUUCCGCUGUUUGCUCCCAGCACCGCCGCACCUGUCACUUGUCUUUUCAGCGCCGUUCACCUGUUGUUGUUCACCUGUUAAGCGCCGUUCAAGUGCGGACUGGAUAUGUCGCCAACCGUGCAGCAGCUUUUGCUUCCUAUGGUGAGCACACAGGAUGCGGAUAAACAUGUGCCGGAACACAGCCAAAAGAAUGAGCAACGCAGUACAGGCUGUGAAUGGACAGCCGGAGAAACCA
rnacentral:lncRNA from 1 species